UAAAUUUUAAUUUAAUUAACAAUUAUAAUCCUAAAUCAAUCAACAAAAUCAAUUCUCCCAAAUCAUCUUCAUCUUCAUAGAAAUCAUCUUCAUCUUCAUCUUCACCAUGUCCUUCAUCUUAAUCUCAUCACCAUCUCCAAAUAAUUAAAUUUCCCAAACCCAAAACAAACCUAGAAUCAACAACAACAAUCCAAAAAAUCAAUCUUUCAUCUUCACCUUCAACAAACCCAGCCAUUAUGAACCUCCA
rnacentral:lncRNA from 1 species